GUACUCCGGAUUGGGACCUCCAUUACGGUUGGCUCGGGCACUAGUACCCUCAUGUUCGAUAGGUCGACGGGCGAUGCCCCCUUUGCUGCCCGCUUCCUGAACUUGUUCGCCGUCUCUGUGGACCCUCGGGUCUCCGUCGAGGUGGCCCUUAUUGACUUAGGGCGCCUCGCCUUCAGGCGGGUGAGGGGGCCCUUGGAAGUUAACGCAUGGCAUGAGCUCCUGGACACCGUUUCUCUUAAUGAGCUAGACCUCUCGCUUCCCUAGGACCUUGUUUCCUGGCGCCUAGAGCCCUCGGGCAACUUCUCCGCCAAAUCCCUUUACAGGGCCAUCGCUCCCUCCGCCUCGGAACCUCUUACAUUGAUCUGGGAAAUCAAACUUCCCCUUAAGAUCAGGAUCUUCCUCUGGCAGUGGAUCCGUGGGCGGGUUCCGUCCGGAGUCGAGGUGCUAAAGCAUAAUGGCCCCGGUGAUGGGAUGUGCCCCCUGUGCGGGACGCUCGAGGAUUCCAAUCAUAUCUUUUCUCCCGCGUCUCUGCCCAAUUCAUGUGGAGUUGCCUCCGCGAAGUAG
rnacentral:rRNA from 1 species